GCCACCUUUCUCCGUUUCUAACAGUGCACUGAGAGAACGCUCCAUCCCCUAUUUGGGUCCCUGAAUGGCUAGUCAAGCCAGUCUUACACUCGGCACCAAAAGAGGCAGAAGCCCAAAAGGACGACAGCCAUGGUGACAAUAAUCCGGAUGAUGAUGAUCUACGCACUCCUGACCAUGACAUCAGGACAGACCCUUUGGGCCAUUGUUAAAGCCUGGCCCUAUCCACUCCCUUUAACGUCUUCCUCUGCUACUUACCCCGCACUCUUAACUACUAAUUUAUUAUGUAACUCCUCUUAAAAGCACAACUUUUCCCAAA